rnacentral:rRNA from 1 species
UACGUAGGGGGCAAGCGUUGUCCGGAUUUAUUGGGCGUAAAGAGCGUGUAGGCGGUUUGGUAGGUCCGUUGUGAAAACUCGAGGCUCAACCUCGAGACGCCGGUUGAAACCAUCUGGCUAGAGUCCGGAAGAGGAGAGUGGAAUUCCUGGUGUAGCGGUGAAAUGCGCAGAUAUCAGGAAGAACACCCGUGGCUAAGGCGGCUCUCUAGUACGGUACUGACGCUGAGACGCGAAAGCGUGGGGAGCGAACAGG